GUAGGGAAUAUUGGGCAAUGGAUGCAAGUCUGACCCAGCCAUCCCGCGUGCCGGAAGAAGGCCCUCAGGGUUGUAAACGGCUUUUGACGGUGAAGAAUCGACAGGAUGCGUCCUGUUCUGACGGUAGCCGUUGAAUAAGCACCGGCUAACUCCGUGCCAGCAGCCGCGGUAAUACGGAGGGUGCGAGCGUUGUCCGGAUUUAUUGGGUUUAAAGGGUGCGUAGGCUGGAAGGUCAGUCAGCGGUGAAAAGCUGUCGCUUAACGAUAGUCUUGCCGCAGAUACUUCCUUUCUUGGAUGAGGAGGAGGCCACUGGAACGGAUGGUGUAGCGGUGAAAUGCAUAGAUAUCAUCCAGAACACCGAUUGCGAAGGCAGGUGGCUGUACCUUAAUCGACGCUGAUGCACGAAAGCAUGGGGAGCAAACAGGAUUAGAAACCCUGGUAGUCC
rnacentral:rRNA from 1 species